rnacentral:lncRNA from 1 species
UGAGCCCGGGAAGCAGAAGUUGCAGUGAGCCUAGAUCGGGCCACUGUACUCCUGCCUGGGAGUCAAGAGACCCUGUCUUAAAACAAAAACAAAAAAAUCUAUUGAGAGCUGACUGAGCCAGCCACUCUCUGGGCCCUAGGGAUACAGCAGAGAAACAAGCAAACAAAACCACAGGCUCUCCUAGAGCCUAUAUUCUAGCUGAGACGUACUCCCGAGAAAACAAAUCACUCAAAGAGAGAGUUGGUGGGACUUAUGAUUCCAAAUAAGGUGCUCAGGAAAGGGCUCACAGAGUAAGCAUGUGAAGUCUAAGCAAGAAUCCGCAGGAGAUAAGAGCACAUGGCCACAUCCACAGAAGAUCAUUUGGUAAUUUUAUUUACUAUUUCACUAUUUGGGCAGCUAUUAUAACUACAUGUAAAUGAAUAUCAAAGAUGAUUAAUAUUAAAGCGGAGAGCAGGUGCACACUGGCAGUGCAAGGAGAGGGCAGCACUGCCCCUGCUGGAUGGAGGCUCCAGGAGGUGAGCGCAUCAAUCUCCAGGUUGUGAUCUGACUUCUGCUUCUCCGGGAGCUGACAAAGCCCCUCCUGAGGAAGUCGUGAGCAAGAUCUUGGAGUUUUGGGAAACACAGGGCUCAGCAUAGUCAGGCACCAGGCAGGGCCAAGGUGGGGACCAGGCGCUGGACCUGCAGUGGAAAUACAGUCAGAGCAAGGGGGCUGCCCUGUACUUCCUGUUUCUAAGCUCACCAUGGCCUGCCUUCACCUCUCGGUGGGUUGCACUGCUGCAGUAUGGCUCAGUUGCCCUCCACGUCUGGUGCAGAGCCGCCACCCUAGGAUCACUUCUCGCCAUCCUCUGUGGGCCUCCCAGGCCAUGUCUACUGUGUUGGGCUCCUGUUUGCUGUAUCUGUGUCUUACUCUUUCAUGAUUUAGUCUUUCAAUUUGGUGGAACACAUCUUCCAGUAGCUUCUUGAGAAGGAGUAUGACAUUUAAAUUUUUUAAACCUUUUUCGGCCAGGCACAGUGGCUCAGGCCUGUAAUCCCACCACUUUGGGAAGCCGAGAUGAGUGGAUCACUAGAGGUCAGGAGUUCAAGACCAGCCUGGCCAACAUGGUGAAACCCCUUCUGUACUAAAAAUACAAAAAUUUGCUGGGUGCGGUGGCUCACGUCUGUAAUCCCAGUACUUUGGGAGGCCGAGGCAAGCGGAUCACUUGAGGUUGGGAGUUCAAGACCAGCCUGACCAACGUGGAGAAAUCCUGUCUCUACUAAAAACACAACAUUAUCCAGGCGUGGUGGCGCAUGCCUGUAAUCUCAGCUACUCGGGAGGCUGAGGCAGGAGAAUCGCUUGAACCCAGAGGCGGAGGUUGCAGUGAGCAGAGAUCGCGCCAUUGCACCCCAGCCUGGGCAACAAGAGCAAAACUCCAUCUCAAACAACAACAACUAGCCAGGUGUGGUGGCAGGCGCCUGUAAUCCCAGCUACUCAGGAGGCCUAGACAGGGGAAUUGCUCAAACCCAGGAGGUGGAGGUUGCAGUGAGCCAAGAUCAUGCCACUGAAUUCCAGCCCGGGCGACAGAGUGAGACUCCAUCUCAAACAAACAAACAAAAAACAAAAAAAAAAAAAACAAAAACACCUUUUUCUCACUUAUUCUUGUUGUAUAGUUAGGCUAGGUACAGAAGUCCAGGUUAGUAAUCACUUUCCUUCAGAAUUUUGAAGACAUUGUUCCAAUUCUCUUUUUGCUUCCUAUGCUGCUGCCAUGAAGUCCAAAGACAUUCUGAUUCUUGAUAUGUGACCUGGUACCCUCCCAUCCAGAAGCUUGUAAAUCUUUUCUAUCAACUCAAUGUUCAGAAAUUCCAUGCCUGGUGCAGGUCUAUUUUCUUCCCUAGUGCUAGGCACAAGUACACAGUUUUAAUCUGUUGGCUCAUGUGCUUCUGUUAUCAACUAUUUUAUAGGUCACUUCCCACCUUGUUUUCUCUCUUCCUGUAAUUCCUAUUAUUCGGAUGUCGGACCACUUACACUGGUCCUUAAAUUUUAUUGAUAUGCCUUUAUUAAACAACUCUUAUAAUAUUGUUAGAACAUUUUUAGGGCAUGUGGUUUAUAAAAUCACAGUUUCUGUCUCACUUUUCAAAAACUGUGGUCAAAGGCACAGAACAUAAAAUUUACCAUCUUAACUUUUUAAAGUAUACAGUAGUCGGCUGGGUGCAGUGGCUCAUGGCUGUAAUCCCAGCACUUUGAGAGGCUGAGGUGGGUGGAUCACUUGAGGUCAGGAGUUCGAGUCCAGCCUGGCCAACAUGGCAAAAUCCCAUCUCUACUAAAAAUACAAAAUUAGCCAGGCGUGGUGGCAGGCACCUGUAGUCCCAGCUACUCAGGAGGCUGAGACACAAGGAUCGCUUGAAUCCAGGAGGUAGAGGCUGCAGUGAGCCAAGAUAUCACCACUGCACUCCAGCCUGGGCGACAGAGUGAGGCUCCAUGUCAAAAAAAUUAGUAAAUAAAGUAUGCAAUAGUGUUAACCAAAUGCACAUUGUUGUGUAAGUAGAACUUACUCAUCUAGUUAUAUCCAUGAACAACUCCCCUAUCUCUUCCCCGAGCCCAUGACAACUACCAUUCUACUUUCUGUUUCUAUGAGUUUAUUUUAGACAUCUCAAAUAAGUAGAAUCAUGCAAUAUUUAUUUUUUGUGACUGUCUUAUUUCACUUAGCAUAAUGUCCUCAAAGAUCAUGUUGCAGCACAGAACAGUAUUUC